AUUUAUAUAAAAUACUUUAUAUCUAUGUGUAAGAAGAAAGUAACUAUACACUCACCUGAAAGGUGGUGACUCAGCACUCGGACAGCGCUUCGAUACCCUCAAAACAAUUUUCCUUCGAUAAAACCUAGUAUCAAUACCAUUAGGGUUUAGUCUAACGAUAACCGCGACAAAUUAAUAGUCUGACUAUUAUUAUUAUUAUAUAAGCGUUAAAUAACACUCAAUAUAACUCAUAAUAAUAGCCAAAAUAAUUAUUUUAAGGACCUAAUAACAUUACUAUAAUUAUUUGAAAGUUAUAUUAAAAAUUACGUAAGCAUAGCUCACUUACAGUGGAUUUUAAAGAAAACCGGGCUUUAUUUGGAGCAGCGUUUCGAAACCGAAAGACACUUUUUCUCGGGACUCCGGGAGCCUCGGGGCUUCCUUAGGGUGCUAGGGGUUCACCUAGACUUUAGGGGACUCAAAAGGGGCUAGAGAGAGAAAGUUCUUAGAUAGAGAGAGAGUGAGAUUUGGUGCAAGAAAACUGGCUGCCCUCGCUGCCUUUUUAUAGCCUGCGAGGCCUCGGACUAUGUUGGGCGUAGUCCUUGGCUACGCGGGGCGUAAGGCUCGGAUAAGGCUUCCAGCUGGCUUCGCACGUGAACCAAUCUCGGAGUGGAUAAGAACCGGAGUACGUGGGGCGUACUCGUCCUCGGAUGCGGGGCGUAGCGAAGCGACGUGUCAUCAUCCGAAGUGAGCACCAUGGUCAGCAAGCGACGGCUAAGAUGCAGCCAUGUGAUCGAUUUAGCAACAAACUUCGCAAUUUUACUUUCCGACUUCUAAAAAUCAUAAAUUUCGCAUACGAGCUCUGUUUUUGACGUUCUUUAUAUCCAAAGGAAGGUGGUAACGUACUCUACAACAUUCGUUUAGACUCCGUUGGCUAAUUUUGAAUGUAUUUUAAAAGUUAUAUUAUUAACAGACGGGGACAUGAUUGGUCCGUUAAAUUCUCAUAACUUCUUCAUCCGACGUCGGUUUUUGCCCAUCCUUUUCUCGUUAUGCUACUCUUAACGAGAUCUUCGAUUCUCGUUUAGAUUGUGUCGGCUAAAAACUGCUCGAUCUAAUAUUUGAAUUUCGGGUUGUACAUUGCUAAUCCGAAACUUCGAAAAAUCAUAACUUCCUCAUACGAAGUCAGAUUUGGGCAUUCUUUUUAUGGACACUCCUGGUUUAACAUAUUCUACGACUUUCGUUUAGAUCGCUAAGGCUAAAUCUCGCUUUAUCGUAAAUUCACUAUUUAUGCUUCCCGGUAUCGUGUCGGUUCCGUCGCGAAACUUCGACGGGUCACAACUUCUUCGUUAUAACNACGCUCUUUAUAUGUACGGAAACCUUGUAACAUAUUCUACAACUUGGUUAAGAUUAUUUAUUCUAAAUAAUCUUUUGUUAAAAAUUCGUUUUCGACACUUAUUGCCUCUAAUUUGACUAGCCCGGAUCUGCGGGCGUUGCAAUUAUCUCCCCCUUAGGAUGAUUACAUCCCGGAAUCAUCAACUAAACAGGGCUCGUAUAAUGACUCCAUACGUCAUCUCUUCAUCCUAGGUAAUAAUUAUAACUUCCAUAUUCCUUCAAGUCCAUCUCUUAGACUUAUUGACUGUAAGUAGUACUCGAUCGUGCAUCUGCUUUCUUAUCUCAGGUUAGACUCCAAAUUAUGACCUACCAUCAUGUGAUGCACGUUUAGACUCAGGUCUCUUAGAGUUAAAUUCCAAAACAUGCUAUACCUUCCUUCAUGUUCUAAUGUGAUAUAAUCACAUUUUAAAAGGUAGCAUUUCUAGCCACAAGCAACCUUUUGUGAUACCUCUACUGAUUGCUUUGAUUAAUUCUUCCGUCUUAAUUUAGAUGCUACAUCGAUCUUGAUUUUCUAAACCACAUAGCAUACUUAGCGUAGUCGGACUCAAUUCGAUAUGACCACUAGGGUCGGAAUAUCAACAAUCUUCUUAGUCAUUACCGAAACGAUGGUAACAACACACUUGAAUAAAACGAAAUCAAUUACUAGUUUCUUGGUAACCUUGUGACCUUCUCUGAUCCAAGUGUGAGUCAUGUGCUUCCGGUAGUAUAGGCCUCUACUACCAUUCACACCUACUCAUACUCGUCCCAAGUAUUGUCCCACAGUUUUUCCAAGUCACCGUAGAAGAAAAAUCACAUAACAGUUUAACACACCAUAUAACAAAACGAAGGUUUUAUAUUAUUCCUUGAAACUAUAACAUAGGUGUUCAUGUUCAUCCUAGACUAUGCCUCUAAUAGGCUACUCCACGUGGUACUAUCUACUUGACUACUUCAUAACUUCAUCUUCGGUCAUCCGUCCUUACUCUUGAUUCCUUGCAUUGUCAGCUGCUUUGUCAAGGAUGCUCCUUAGCUUUAUAGGUGCAUUCGCUCCUGCUGCUUCAUUUUCUUCGGGCAGUCCCUAGAUAAAUAUCCUUCUUUGUUACAUCCAUAACACACCUUACUCUUAGACGUGCAUUUGCUGGCGUAAUGCCCUAUCCUUCCACAUUUGUAGCAUGUCACCUUCUCAUCGUAUCCUUCAUAGUGCUUUAGUAGUACAUUUGGCGUCGUUGCUCUCAUCGGACAAUCUUGCUUGAAGUGUCCCUCUCCACUACACUUAAGGCAAACUUCCUCCUUGGUUGAGCAUUUAUGGGCAUUAUUACCAAUCUUCCAGCAUUUGAAGCAGGUCACUUCCUUAGGGCAUCUCCUGUUACACCAUUUUGCUUUACCUCUUCAUCCUCUAGACUGUGAAAAUAAGUUUUUCCUGUUGGACCAUGAAGAUCCCUCAAAUUUCCUCUUCUUGCCAACUUCAACCUUGUUGGUGAUCCUAUCGUUGAUCUUUUCUUCGACAGACUUAGCAACCCAGAUGGUUGCCUCAAGAGGGGGUGCCUGGCGUACCGGCACAAUAAGUUCGUCCUUACUUUGUUGAAUUAAGCACCUUGUUUCUCUCAUAUAUUAAUCCAACAUCAUCCACACCAUUGAUUGUACUCCUUCCAUAGUGAUUGGCUAGGGUGCAACUGCUACUUCUAGUGUACGCUCAAUCACUUGUGGCUUAGGCUGUAGGUUACUAUCUCUGAAUCCGCUUUGAGUGUUCAUCAUGUCGAUCUAUACAUUGAAUUUAGAUGUCCGGUGUAGAGUGAUGAGAAUUUAGAUAGAGAAGAUUUUAUUUACGAUCGACGUGUAAUUCUCCUUGUCUCUCCGAAAAAUUACAUGUCAGUUCUAAUAUCGUAAUUAAACGUUUAGAAACCUGAACACAUAAAGUUUCCAGAUCCGGUCGGCAACAGACCAUAGAUCCGUUCAUAUAUUGCAUAUCAUAAAACAUUUAGCACAUAAAAGCAUGUUAGGCAUUUUCCCUAAAUAAGCUAGUGCUUGUGUCUAUUUAGGUUUACUACCUAAAAUAUAUUAGACACACUCCUCACGAUCAUCUCUUAGCAUUCUAAGUUUAAGUCUAUAAAUAAAUCCAUAUUCCUAGUUCGCUUAAACUAAUGCUCUGAUACCAACUGUGACAUCCCCAAAAUCACGGCCAGAAAAGACCGGUUUGUUUAUGCUUUGUUUAAAAAUCAGAGUUACAUUUUAAAUGAAAGUGUUGCGGAAUUUGUCCCAAAACAAAAAUAUGAUAAAGAUUUAUCAAAAGCAUUUCCAUAGAAAUGUAUUUCAUUAAAAGACUCGGGAUGUCAUGUUCGUACAGAUCAAAAGCAUAAACAGUACAAUAUAAGCCUUACUACAUUAUUUCAUAUCUACAGGCCUAUAUCCGUAAUCCCUCGUCCAAAACAUCACACCUAUGCUCAUGCGCCACUACCUGUAAUACAUAAAACUGAGUGGGUCAGGCUUGGGAGCCUGGUGAGCACAUAGGGUUUUCAACCCACAAUAAAUAAGUUUAUUAAUUUCAUCAAUCAACAAUAACCCGAUUACCCGUUCCCGUUAUCCUCACUUUACGUCCCUAAACACCUAUCAUAAGGGACCUAGCCUAAGGAUCAUCAUCGGGACGGACACUACUGCUAAGGGGAUUCCUCAGCAAUAAAUGUCCUAAAGGCAACCAUGUGGGGGAUGGAGUACACCGGUGAACACAUCGUUCACAAACACCUACAGGUUGCGAGCCUGCUAGUGUUCCACUGGACUGUCUAGAAGAGUCCGUGGUCGUCAUCCAUACUCCGCUAGAUGACAGAAUCAACAACAUCAACAUCGAGGCCUCUCAUCAUUUUAUCACACAUCACCUAUUACAUCUACCCAUGUUUUACCCCAACAUUUUCGUAGAUAUAAAAUACAUAUACAGUUUAAAUCAUUGAAAACAUGUAUAACAAUGUUCAUCCAGCAUAGAUAGCAAGUAUUCAGAUAAUAUGCACACAUAGCACGUAAUUUAUAUAAAAUACUUCAUAUCUAUGUGUAAGCUGAAAGUAACUAUGCACUCACCUGAAAGGUGGUGACUCAGCACUCGGACAGCGCUUCGAUACCCUCAAAACAAUUUUCCUUCGAUAAAACCUAGUAUCAAUACCAUUAGGGUUUAGUCUAACGAUAACCGCGACAAAUUAAUAGUCUGACUAUUAUUAUUAUUAUAUAAGCGUUAAAUAACACUCAAUAUAACUCAUAAUAAUAGCCAAAAUAAUUAUUUUAAGGACCUAAUAACAUUACUAUAAUUAUUUGAAAGUUAUAUUAAAAAUUAUGUAAGCGUAGCUCACUUACAGCGGAUUUUAAAGAAAACCGGGCUUUAUUUGGAGCAGCGUUUCGAAACCGAAAGACACUUUUUCUCGGGACUCCGGGAGCCUCGGGGCUUCCUUAGGGUGCUAGGGGUUCACCUAGACUUUAGGGGACUCAAAAGGGGCUAGAGAGAGAAAGUUCUUAGAUAGAGAGAGAGUGAGAUUUGGUGCAAGAAAACUGGCUGCCCUCGCUGCCUUUUUAUAGCCUGCGAGGCCUCGGACUAUGUUGGGCGUAGUCCUUGGCUACGCGGGGCGUAAGGCUCGGAUAAGGCUUCCAGCUGGCUUCGCACGUGGACCAAUCUCGGAGUGGAUAAGAACCGGAGUA
rnacentral:lncRNA from 1 species